CUGCUAAAAAUAAUUUGGUUUCUUCAAUCUACGCAAAAUUAAGGACUGGAGGAAGAUGUAGCCAAUUUCACUUUUAUGGGAGAGAACACAAUUCUCAAGCAUUAAAAUAGUGCAAAGUAAGAUGCGCAAGGCAAGACUUGAAGAGGCCAAAAUCAAGGGAGUUUCAGGAUGACACAACAGAGAUUUGCAUCUCAGAAGUCUGUCAGGCUGCCUCUUGGGUCUUCAGACAACUGCAGGACAAUGAAAACAUCCUGAUGAAACCUGCAGAAUAGAGUGAAUGUGCACACAUUUGAAGCUGUCCGCCACCUCUGGUUGUAGAAGCGACGCAGGACCCUCUGUCUUUGGUGACACUG